CACAAACAACUAACUUUCUCAAUUUUUUUACUUUUAUACAGUCCCAAUUUUUGAAUCACUAAAUUACGGUACACGCUACUAAUAUUAUCUUUUAUAACCUAAAUCUAAAUAGAAUAUGAUCUUCUUUUCCAUCAUCUUUAUGUCAGAUCUUUUUUCUUCUUCCUCAUCUCAUCAAUCUUUCUAACUCUCCACCUGCACCCACCGAGACAUUAUCUGCCAAAACCUCCGACGACAUCAGCUUGUCCUUUAGCGACUUGCGUCGUAAACGGCGAUCUGCAUUUCAUUCAAGCGGCGGCAGCGACAACAAUCUCCUAGCAACAUAGGCGGCGAUCUUCUAGUAGCGAUGGCGAUAAUUUCCUAGCAGCAGUUAGCAGUGAUGACCUCGUAGCAACAGCAGCGGCGACAAUCUCUUUUAAUUAUUGAUACACUUACUUCCAUUUUUUAUUUCUUAUUUUUCAUUUUUUUUCCUCCAUUGAUUAACGAUGUAUCUCAAAUUUUUAUGCUCUGAACCUCAAUUUGUUUUUCUGUAGUGGAGGGAGCUGUGAUCAUCAGGUUCUUUGCCUUACACUUUAAGUGGCUUUAAUUUUAUAUCGAGGGCUUGUGUUUAGAUUGGAUGUUGAUUGCCUUGUUUUGUUUGGCGGAGAGGAAAAAGAGGAAUGCUUAAGGAUAUGGGUGAAAUUGUUGCAAUGGCUGAAGACUUUGUAAAUGAUGGACAUGCUCUUAAGACAUAAACUCAUGUUAAAAAUAAUUGUUUAAUAUUUUUGAAUAAUUAUAAUGUUAUUUUUAUGUUGAUUUUUUUA